CCUACGGGUGGCAGCAGUGAGGAAUAUUGGUCAAUGGCCGGGAGGCUGAACCAGCCAAGUCGCGUGAGGGAAGACGGCCCUACGGGUUGUAAACCUCUUUUGUCAGGGAGCAAGGUGCAGGUCGGGUCCUGCUGUGAGAGUACCUGAAGAAAAAGCAUCGGCUAACUCCGUGCCAGCAGCCGCGGUAAUACGUAGGUGGCAAGCGUUAUCCGGAUUUAUUUGGCGUAAAGGGUACGCAGGCGGUCUUUUAAGUCCGAUGUGAAAGCUUUGGGCUUAACCGGAGUAGUGCAUUGGAAACUGGGGGACUUGAGUGCAGAAGAGGAGAGUGGAACGCGAGGUGUAGCGGUGAAAUGCGUAGAUAUAUGGAAGAACACCAGUGGCGAAGGCGGCUCUCUGGUCUGUAACUGACGCUGAGGUUCGAAAGCGUGGGUAGCAAACAGGAUUAGAUACCCCUGUAGUC
rnacentral:rRNA from 1 species